GGACUACAAGGGUAUCUAAUCCUGUUCGCUCCCCACGCUUUCGCUCCUCAGCGUCAAUAUCGGCCCAGAGUCCCGCCUUCGCCACCGGUGUUCCUCCUGAUAUCUGCGCAUUUCACCGCUACACCAGGAAUUCCGGACUCCCCUACCGAAUUCUAGUCUGCCCGUAUCGGCUGCAGGCCCGGGGUUGAGCCCCAGGUUUUCACAGCCGACGCGACAGACCGCCUACGAGCUCUUUACGCCCAAUAAUUCCGGACAACGCUUGCACCCUACGUAUUACCGCGGCUGCUGGCAC
rnacentral:rRNA from 1 species